UACGUAGGUGGCGAACGUUGUCCGGAUUCACUGGGCGUAAAGCGCGCGCAGGCGGGCUGAUCAGUCUGGGGUGAAAUCUCUCGGCUCAACCGAGAGGGGCCCUCGGAUACUGUCAGCCUUGAGGUGCCUAGAGGAGAGUGGAAUUCCGGGUGUAGUGGUGGAAUGCGUAGAUAUCCGGAGGAACACCAGUGGCGAAGGCGACUCUCUGGGGGCAUUCUGACGCUGAGGCGCGAAAGCGUGGGGAGCGAACCGG
rnacentral:misc_RNA from 1 species